UUUGUGUUUGUAGCUCAGCCUUGCUGCAGAUUGGUGUUUUUUUUAAAGGAUUUUGAGAUUCACAUUGCCUAGAUUGCCUGAUCUUCAGGAGUGGGGUGGAGUGCGCUCUGCGCAUGUUCAGAAGCACGUGUUCAUCUCAAAGAAAACAUAUUCCAAGCCAUAAUGCUCUGGCCAGUGCUCUAUGGCAAAAAAUACUGACUCAAGUGAUACCUUUGACCAGCUAAGGCCAAUUUUGCUUUGCAACAAUACUUUCUGGUAUUUUCCCAGAAGGCCCAGCCAAGUCCAUAAUGUUAAACACAGCAGCAAAACAAAGAGUUUUUCGAUGCAGCCAAGCUAGAGAAGCUGUUGGUUUGAAACAACUUUGGGGACCAAGCUCGGGUAUCCUGAUUAGAUGGCCAGGCAUUCUGGUCAGUUUAAAAGACAGUGCUUUCACUCUUGUUCCUGAAACAAAAUCCAAGGAAGCGAUUGGAGAGCCAUUUGUCUGGAACACUAUAAUCUCCUGCUUGAGCAGGGGGUUGGACUAGAAGACCUCCAAGGUCCCUUCCAACUCUGUCAUUCUGUAUUCUGGUCAGGUGCUCCAGCUCCAUAGAGUUAUGGAGCAAUGGGUAAUGGGUGUUGUAAUCGGACACUCGAGCCGGGGAGGAGACGGAGCCAAUCUUCCCUUUCUCCCGGAAGGGUUCCCUCCUUCCUCCCGCCACUCCAGAGAACCUGGAAACUUUUUCUCCCCUCCCUAAAAGCUUCCUCUCGGCCUCCUGCUUGCCUUGGCUUCUUCCCCUCCCCGCCUCUUCCCCUCCCCCAGGCCUCUCUCCGCCCCCUCCCCUCCCCGCUUCCAGACAAACCGAGCAGAAACGCAAACAUUUUGGGCCGCGCGUCUCUGCCAUCGAUCAUCCCGCGGCCCGGCUCAGGCGAGAGCCGCCCCCGCCCGUCCCGAGACAGGUUCCGUGCUUCAUUCCCGAUUCGGCUCAUGCCCACCUGAGCCGCGCGCUGACAAAUAGACAUUUAAAUCAGACAAUUAGCUGGCCUCCACUGCUGACAUUUUUAAUGUAUUAAUGUGCAUCAACAGCUAAUACAUAGAAAAUUCCCCAAAUAACAGGGCUCGGGUAAAAGAGGUUGCUUUGCCGCGCGGGAGCUGGCAGUGAUAUACGACUCCGGUGGGGCACCGGACCCGCAGUUCGCAUUAAUUACCAGCCGACUGACAGGCCGACGUGACAGCGCGGCGUAGGCAGGAGCCCCGUUAUAUUAUCUUUAGCCCCCGGGGUGGGCGCGCUGCGCCGGCAAAAGGAAGCCGUGUACAUUGUGCAUCUGUUAACACCAAAUCCUCGCCCGCGCUCGCCUGCCUGUGCGGGUGUGCAUAUAGUUGGCAGUCCGUAAACCAUGGACCAGCCCCCCCCCGCCCGGUCUUGGGGGUUGAAAAGAAUGACAUUUAUCCGGGGUGUCAAACGCACGAGGUAUUUCUGACUGGGCCUAUCAGAAUUUUAACUGUGUAACUCGGUUUAGCAAAAGGAAGAGAGAGAGAGAGAGAGACAAGGCAAAGGUGUGUAAAAGUUGUGCCAGAGUGUGUUGCGGGAAAGAAGCAGAAAGCAACCCAUCUGGUCUGCAAAAGUGAGAGAGGAAUAAGUGGAGCUGUCUAAGGCAUGUUAGGGGUCAGCUAAGGAACAUUGAUGGAGGAUGUACGCGCAGAGUACGGGUACGUAUGAAAGAAAAUUAUAUCGGGUGUAUGGGUAUAACUGUAAGAAUGAAAAAUAUAAAAAAACAUAUUUCCUCUCCAAAGACAGUUUCCAUGCUCAAAGCUCUCAAACACGAAAAAGGAAGAGAGAAAAGCAAACAAAAAUGGAUCGUUAAAAUCACACUAAAUUGCACUGUGGUGAAGAAAAGGAUCAGGUGUGUACAGAAUUUAUACUUAAAACUCAAGCAUGGAUUUUGCAUGCAAAAGAGGCUGUACAUGCACAUAACUGAUUUUCACACUGUUGUAAAUACAUGUUGAAGAAAUCGUCAAUAUUGCUUAAACUGGAAUAUAUUUCCAUCUACACAAUGUGAAUCUGUGGGCUUGGAAGGAGAGAAGCUGUAAAUAUCUGUGAGGCCGUACAAUCCAAAAUAAAAUACGUAAAUUAAAGGAUAAUUUCAUAUAAUAAAACAGUGGAAGUAAAUGAGACUACGUUUGCUAGCUGAGUCUUAUCAUUCUGGUUAAUGUUAGUAAAAGCAAACCUAACAGCUAGAAUUAAUCUGGGAGUAAAUUACAGAAUAAAAUGUAUUUAAAAUUUGUUCUUUCAAAGAAAUUUAUUUUGGAAUCAUUCUUAGAAAAGAAAUAAUGUGAUCUUUUGGGGAAAAAAGACUGGCGGGUGACAGUACAAGGUGGGCAAACCUUAUAAAGAUCUUUGUGUGUAUAUUAAAAAUGAAACGGUUCAUUUCUGAUGCUGCUGCUACGGUAGUUUCUUCAAUUGUUAUAUGUGUGAGUCUGAAACCAUUUGCCUUCAAAAUUGCCCUUCCCUUUGGUUUUUGCCUCUUCCAAUUUCAAUCUUCCAUUUUUUUUUUUAUCAGUCAGGGAAGAUGUUUCCCUCUCAACACUACACAACUCAGUAUUGGAAAAUAGUUUGUUUGGCUAACAGAUGUGUACUGUGGGUUGGCAAACAUGGAUUGCUUCUCUCCUGUGAUAUAUUGCACAUUUAGCUGAGGUUUAAUAAUUGCAGUACUUUGGGGUUUUCUUCUUUUAUCCUAUAGAUGUCACUGAUUGCUCCAAACCGGUGGAUGAAUGUGUAGCUCUGCUCCUGUCUCUUCCCUAAGGAAAUGAAUGUCAAGAAUGGCUCAGAAUUGCUACUCUCUGAACCAGAAAAAUAUUGAAUUUCCUUCUAUCCCCUCUGACGUGUUUCUUAAUUCCCAGCAGCAGCAGCCACUCAUCUGAAAGAGAGCUUUGUACAUGGGUGAAACAAUAGCUCAACAGCAGGGAUAUGUAAGAAGGGGACCCAAUGCUGCUGUUUUCACUGAAGCCUUUGAAACACUGCUGGAUUGUAAGAAAUGAAGAUUCAAUCACAAACCAUGCCUUGCAGACUCAUAAAUAUAUGACUUGCAAGUGGCAGCUUUUCAUUUGCACUCAUUUGCAGAAAUAUGAUAUGUGGUAUAGACACACUGUCGUUUGUGUAUCAGCUCUCCCGCAUAUCCAUCAUGUAGCCUCCUUGUCCUGUUCUGGCCAUGAAUCAUCCACUACUAAGACGUGGCUUGAUUUGCUUAACCAUAAUAACUGAGUACAGUACAAUUAACUUGAAUUUUUGCAUCAUGCUAAAACUAUGAACCAUGGUUAACACAUCCCAGUGAUUCAGCUCAUAGUAUGCAAAUUGCAUUAUGACCAAAUGCAAUGUAGUCAUGAUGAACUGUAGGGAUCAUGCCAGGGUUAAGAUCUGCGUUCAAAUCCUUAUUGGGACAUGAAAAUUAGUCAGUGACCUUGGAUUAGACAGACGGGGAAGGAACAUGCAUGAGCUCCCUGGAGGAAAGCUGGGAGACCCAUGUAAUAAAUUAACAUUGCUCCUAGUAGCUGUUCUACCACUGUUGUAAAUUUUCCAGCAGUCGAGUUGGACAGCUUUGAUGCUGACCUCCCAGCACUGCAGGGAAAAGAUAUCCAUCACAGCCUAGGCUGGAGGAAAUGUUGAGGGUGUGUGGUGGCUUUCUGUGACACUGAGAAAUCCAAGUAAUUGUAUCUCCACAGAGCUGAGUUUAAUUUGGUUGAGAUCCUGCUUCAUAAUAUGAUUAACACAAUGAUUAAUUCUGCUCAGAGAUUCUGGUUGACAUACCAGAGGCUUCCAGGUCCUGAUUGCAAAGGUGCAGAUGCCACUAGGCUGCAGAAAUGAAGUAAGACUUUUCUAUAACUAUUGGUUAUUAUUAUUAUUUGAAUUUUCACAGCCCAGGUCUGAUUUAAAAAAUUAGGUUACCUAUGUUUUAGAAGAAGUAAUAGUUUCUGUAUCUCUUUGCGAUGCCACCUUUUAGUCAUCCUGAGUUGUGUAGCCCAGGUCGGCUACCAUUUUUAAAAGUAAUCUUAACAGAAAAAUCCCAUACUAUUUCGUUUGUUUGUUUGUUUUCUUUCCAGAUUUUUUUUUAUUAAGUUUCAGUAAAGGAUAACGUACAAAAAGGCAAAAUAAAAGGGGCUAGGGAAAAAAAGCUUAAAUAAAAAGCAAAAUCAGGAGUGCAAAGAGAAAGAAACAGAACUGAAAUAAAGACUGUUUAGGAUACCAGUUAAUUAUUUACAUUUUUAGGCAGUUUUUAGGUCAUGUGCCCUUCUAAGGCACUACUUCCUUGAGAAAUUGAAAUACACACACACACACACACACACACACACACCCUCCGUGGACUUAAAGUUAGAAGAGAGGAGCAGGAGGAUAUGGUCAAAACUAGUCCUGUCAGAAAGUGGAUGAUGGCUGUUCUGGUGGGCUGAUUUUAGUUCGGGGCAGGUAGAGCCUUUAUAUGUUUUUGCAUAUCAGAUGCUAAAGUUAACAAUAUUCUCAUCAAUUUUGGCUCCUAGGCCAGGGGUAGGCAACCUUGGCUCUUUUACGACUCAUGGACUUCAACUCCCAGAAUUCCCGAGCCAGCGUGGCUCAGCUUGGAAACCUCUCCCUUUCCCCUCAGCAUGGCUGGCUCAGGAAUUCUGGGAGUUGAAGUCCACGAGUCAUAAAAGAGCCCAGGUUGCCUACCCCUGGCCUAGGCAUUUUGACUUGGAGCAGCGAUGGUGGGGAGCUGGUCGGUGAUAGUUUUUCAGGCAACAGAUUUUCUUUGGGAAGCUCCUGUUUGGAGAAGAGGCCCUUCCUUCUUUUUCUCUCUCUUUCAGCUUUUCAUUGACAUUGCCUACUACAACCAGACGUAGAAAAAUGAAAUCCAGUCAUUUGAAAUAUAUUCAGAAUGACCAUUUCGACAAAGACAGUUCAUUCUGGAGGAAUAAUGGGAACACAAGUGGAAUAAUAACAGAAUAUUAAUCCCCUGUAAAGAAGCUGUGUUGCAGCAUAAUCAAAGAGUACAGGGGAUCCAGACAUUGGAACAUUUCCCCAAUAAUUAUAAAGAAGCUGACUCUGCUUAUAGAACUGCCCAGAUAAAAAGACAGCUAUUCUUUUUUUCUCUUCCUUCUUCCUGCCUGCCUUCUGUGUGGCCACCCAACUUACCACUUUGACUCUGAGCAGCUAACAGUCCACAAAAAUAAACAAUACAGAGAUGGAUAGUGACAGGAAGGGGACCUUAAAGAAAUGGAGUGACCCAGUUGUUGGAAGAAGCAGAUGUUUGAAGCAACUUGAAUCCAAAAAGAUGAAGAAUUCACAAACUCAGCAGAGAUAUUAGACAGGCUGAACAAAUUCCAGAGUAUCCAGGGUUGGCAGCAGAUGAAAUUGAUGUUUUAAAUAAUUGUGAAUGCUACUCAUCAGUGCUAUGUUAUUGAACUUACUUCGAUUUUAUGUAUAAGAAAUUCAGGCUAUGAAGCAAAAUCUCCUGACUCAGCUCAUUUGCUAAACAUCCAGAAUUAUGGACUAUGUCUGCUUUCUAAACCUUUAAAAUGCUAACAAAUUGCUCUUUUGUAUUUUAGCCUCACACCAGUACACUUUCAACACCCUGAAUAAUCAAAAGUGUAGCUGAAAAACUCUGAUCUCUUUCCUCUACAAAUAAAAUGCUGUGCCAGCAUCUAUUAAUGAUAAAGUAAGAAAUAAUAUAUUCAAAAUAUAAUGGCUGUGAAAAGUACUUACUUGUGCAAACAAAAGCAAUUUGGAUUCUCCUGUCUGUGUGGGAUAUUUUGUGUUACUGAUGAAUGGAUGGUGCAGAAAGAAGCUAGCAAACAGGCUAAAGGUUCAUUAAAUUAAAUGUUAUAUGGGGCACUGCAAAGGUGAUGUUUUUAUGUAUUCUGUCUCUUGUAUAAAUUACCUUCAACAAGCUAAAUCCUUAAUCAUAGUAAUGAAAAAUAAGCUGGCAUGCAAAGUGAGAAUAAGCAGUAGGCCACGCUUAGGUCAAAAGUCCAAAAACUACAGUAUGUGAGAAGUGAUUCUUUAGUUGCUGAAAUCAAAGAAAGGAACCACAUGACUCAGCCAGUGUUUAUGGAGGUGGAUGACAGAUAUAAAAGGAAGCAUUUUUGUUCCUAGUCUCCAAAUUAUUGAUGUUAACCAUUGUUUUGCUGCUGAGUCCCAAAUCAGUGGAAUGAGUUGACCUUUAUUAAAUUGCAUAUCAAGUAA